AAUAAUAUACUGGAGUUGGUAAGGUAAUUCAAUUGUGUUUCCUUUAUGCAUGUAUUACUUGUUUUGCGUGAUUUACAGUUAAGUUGUGAAACUGGAAAUUAAAUGUAAACAGAAAAUUGCUUGAUUUAGUGAAUAAUUGAAUGGUAACCUUACUGGAUAUCUUGAGAGAUGGUGGACGGACCGGAUACAUAGGGAACCCUAUCGUGAACGUUGUCUCAUACUGGAUGGGGUAUCGAGAAUUGGUAUUUUGGCGCUCAUAUCGGACGAUGUAUUGAGGGAUAGUAUUUUUGGCACUCAUACCGGACAGGGUAUAGGGACGGCCUGUUAGUUAACAACGUUGAAUAAGAAUUUACGCAUAGUGGAAACAUUCCUAUGAACCCAUAUAGAUACUAGUAAACAAAUAAAAAAAAGUUGUUGUUCUGGCUAAUUGAAAAUGAGGUUAUGAUGUUGUUUGUGUUAUUACCUCUUAGAUCGGUUUUGAAAAUCUUACUACAGUAAGUAUGCAAUAAAUGAAUUUACUUAAAUUAAGAGUUCCAUUAGUUGUUUUUAUGAUUUUUACUAACCUUCAUUUCUGUAUCGGUGAGUAGUGUGAUACUCUUACUAGACUAAUGUACCUCACACUUUCAUUAACCAUUUCAGAUCAAGAGAACCAAGAUCCAGAUCCUGAUCAAUAAGGGAGUUGUAAAUAGUUCACCACAUAGACUCCCUUCAAAUGCUAGUAAAUGUCGUCCUAUGACACCUAUUUGCUUACUUUUCAUUUAUUUUUUGAUUUUUCGCUAGUUCUUUUAGAAAAGUCAUUCUCGUAUUUCUAUUAAGUAUUCUAAAUUAUUGUGUAAGGAAUGU
rnacentral:lncRNA from 1 species